rnacentral:lncRNA from 1 species
AAAUCACUGCCUAGCUAGUGUCAGGGUUUGUGUGGUAGAGGAGCUCUCUUGUGGUUUAAAUUACAACAGUCUGUGGGUGGGGAGGGUGUGGACCACUGAAGUUCUCUCACCCCUUCCCAGCAAUACUGAGCCCCUUCAGGCUCCUGGCUGAUCACAAUUGUUCUCCUAGAUGUGCUAUUCAAGAGAUCCAUGUAGCCACCACUGAGAACUUCAGACCAGAAGAGACAAGCAGAGAUACUGCAACGCACUCAUCCAGAGCAGAGGAACCCUAUUUUGAGUUUACCUAUAGGACCUUAUAACAGGCAAACAUAUGAUGUCUUCAUAGUAUUAGAAAUAAUGAAAUGAAGGACUAUAUCAGUGACCUCCUGAAAGG